GCCAGCAGCUAUAUCACCCUGCAACUCACAACUGGCAACUCACUAAAGCUAAGAAGGUGUGAUCCUGACCAGUACCUGGAUGGGAGACCACCUGGUAAAGCUAAGGUUGCUGCUGAAA
rnacentral:rRNA from 1 species